rnacentral:rRNA from 1 species
ACCUGGCGGAAGCCUACACAUGCAAGUCGAGCGGUAGAGAGAAGCUUGCUUCUCUUGAGAGCGGCGGACGGGUGAGUAAUGCCUAGGAAUCUGCCUGGUAGUGGGGGAUAACGCUCGGAAACGGACGCUAAUACCGCAUACGUCCUACGGGAGAAAGCAGGGGACCUUCGGGCCUUGCGCUAUCAGAUGAGCCUAGGUCGGAUUAGCUAGUUGGUGAGGUAAUGGCUCACCAAGGCGACGAUCCGUAACUGGUCUGAGAGGAUGAUCAGUCACACUGGAACUGAGACACGGUCCAGACUCCUACGGGAGGCAGCAGUGGGGAAUAUUGGACAAUGGGCGAAAGCCUGAUCCAGCCAUGCCGCGUGUGUGAAGAAGGUCUUCGGAUUGUAAAGCACUUUAAGUUGGGAGGAAGGGCAUUAACCUAAUACGUUAGUGUUUUGACGUUACCGACAGAAUAAGCACCGGCUAACUCUGUGCCAGCAGCCGCGGUAAU